ACGCUGGCGGCGUGCCUAAUACAUGCAAGUUGAACGCAACAAAGACACCAGAGCUUGCUCUACCGUCUUUGUUGAGUAGCGAACGGGUGAGUAACGCGUGGGUAACCUGCCUUAUAGCGGGGAUAACUAUUGGAAACGAUAGCUAAUACCGCAUAACAAUAGAGAUUGCAUAAUCUUUAUUUGAAAGUGCCAACUGGUACACUAUGAGAUGGACCCGCGUUGUAUUAGCUAGUUGGUAGUGUAAUGGACUACCAAGGCGAUGAUACAUAGCCGACCUGAGAGGGUGAUCGGCCACAUUGGGACUGAGACACGGCCCAAACUCCUACGGGAGGCAGCAGUAGGGAAUCUUCGGCAAUGGACGAAAGUCUGACCGAGCAACGCCGCGUGAGUGAAGAAGGUUUUCGGAUCGUAAAACUCUGUUGUUAGAGAAGAAUGUUGAUUAGAGUGGAAAAUUAAUCAAGUGACGGUAUCUAACCAGAAAGGGACGGCUAACUACGUG
rnacentral:rRNA from 1 species